GUAGGUGGCAAGCGUUGUCCAGAAUUAUUGGGCGUAAAGCGCGCGCAGGCGGCCCUUUAAGUCUGAUGUGAAAGCCCACGGCUCAACCGUGGAGGGUCAUUGGAAACUGGGGGACUUGAGUACAGAAGAGGAAAGCGGAAUUCCAAGUGUAGCGGUGAAAUGCGUAGAGAUUUGGAGGAACACCAGUGGCGAAGGCGGCUUUCUGGUCUGUAACUGACGCUGAGGCGCGAAAGCGUGGGGAGCAAACAGGAUUAGAUACCCUGGUAGUCCACGCCGUAAACGAUGAGUGCUAAGUGUUAGGGGGGUUUUCCGCCCCCCUUAGUGCUGCAGCUAACGCAUUAAGCACUCCGCCUGGGGUACGGCCGCAAGGCUG
rnacentral:rRNA from 1 species